rnacentral:rRNA from 1 species
AGCAUGACCUUUAUAUCCAGGGCUACACACACGCUACAAUGGACAGUACAACAGGUUGCCAAGCCGCGAGGCGGAGCCAAUCCUCUAAAGCUAGUCCUCAGUUCAGAUUGCAGGCUGCAACUCGCCUGCAUGAAGUUGGAGUUGCUAGUAACCGCAGGUCAGCUAUACUGCGGUGAAUACGUUCCCGGGCUU